AACAAAGAAAUAAAAUCCACAACUAUAAGAUAGCUCAACCAGUGAAAAAAAGGGACCUUUCGUCAUCUAUAGCCCACAGAAUGAUGAAGGUGCUGACCUUCUCGAUCACUACUAAAAUAAUACCAAUGAGCUACCCUCCAAACCCAUUUUCAAAAUCGUAAAUUACUUCCGUAGAAAAGCUUAAGAUCUGGUUGGCAAUAUCGCCCUCAAAAUAAACUCUGACUAGUGAACCUUUAGAUGUGGCAGACGAGGCCUUUCUA
rnacentral:lncRNA from 1 species